CCAUGCAUUAAUUAAGAUCCUUUUUCAUAAUAACCAACUAUAUAUAUAUAUAUAUAUGUAUAUGACCGAUCGAUGCCAUUAAAGCUCAAGGUACAUUAGAUUGAUUACAUUGACUCAACCCAUUAAUAUGUGGUGUGGUCGGUAAUUAAAUCUAACAUGCAUGGUUUAUAAUAUUUGUCUGGCCAACGUAUCAUGCAUGGCCUAUCAUCUUCUGAAGAACAUGGCAUUUAUGUUUUUGCUGUCAUGAACAUACAUGACCACAUAACUCAAGUGGCAGAUCCAGCUUUUCAUUUUUGGGGGUGGAGGGGGGACCAUAUACAAAAAUUACUACAAAUAGAAAGCAAAUAUAUAUGCGACCUAAUCACACUCACUAUCUCUACUAAUGUCUUGAAGAUGAUCAAUGAUAUUGACCUUAAUUUUUUAAUUUCACAAAAUCCCUAACCCUUGUUUCUCAGAUAUUCUCUUAAUUUAUUGUUUUUUGUUGAUCGAUUUUGGUUACUUCAAACAAAGUUUUCAUUUGCAUAUUCUUUGAUAAUAUAAGAUUGAUGUCUAUGUUAAGGAUGUUUUUGCAGGAAGUUGAGGUUGUUGACUCAGGUGAAUCUGAGUAAAUCUGAGAAGAUUCUAAAAGGAGAUAUUCAUGGAAGAGAUAAGGAUGAAAUCUUGAUGUUAAAAACUACUGAAAAAGAACUUCUGGAAAUAUAGAUGAUCUUGAGGAAGCAAACUCAGAGAUGUCAGAUACUUCGCUCUCAAAUUCGCGGACUCCUGGCGGAAAACAAGAGGGGAGAAGUCUCAGCUAGUCAUAACAAUGAAGAGGACGAAGAAGAUGAAGAAGAGGAACUCAACUCAGCAGCUAAGGCAAGCACGUCUAAGCAAAGGAUCCUAGCAGAGAACAGUGAUGCUGAGAAGACAGUUUCGAACUAAAAGUCAAAGUUCCCUGACUAGCGUCUAUGUAGGGUGUUUGUGUGAACCUUUUUUAACCUUUUUGCUGACCCGAGAAUUUAAUAUGAUGUUUUAAUGGUUCUCUUUCUCUAA